rnacentral:rRNA from 1 species
GACGAACGCUGGCGGCGUGCUUAACACAUGCAAGUGGAGCGACGAACCAGGGCUUGCCCUGGGGCAGAGCCGCGAACGGGUGAGUAACACGUGGGUAACCCACCCCGAUGACCGGGACAACCCGAGGAAACUCGGGCUAAUACCGGAUGUUCUCGCUUCCUCUGAGGGAAGCGAGCAAAGAUAGCUUCGGCCUUCGCAUCGGGACGGGCCCGCGGCCCAUUAGCUUGUUGGUGAGGUAACGGCUUACCAAGGCGACGAUGGGUAGCUGGUCUGAGAGGACGAUCAGCCACACUGGGACUGAGACACGGCCCAGACUCCUACGGGAGGCAGCAGUGGGGAAUCUUGCGCAAUGCGCGAAAGCGUGACGCAGCAACGCCGCGUGGGGGAAGAAGGCCUUCGGGUUGUAAACCCCUUUCAGUUGGGACGAAGCUUCGAGGGUUAAUAGCCCUCUGGAGUGACGGUACCUUCAGAAGAAGCCCCGGCUAACUACGUGCCAGCCGCCGCAGUAACAC